rnacentral:rRNA from 1 species
UCGACGGCAGCCGGACUUCGGUCUGGUGGCGAGUGGCGAACGGGUGAGUAAUAUAUCGGAACGUACCCUGGAGUGGGGGAUAACGCAGCGAAAGUUGCGCUAAUACCGCAUACGAUCUACGGAUGAAAGUGGGGGCUCGCAAGACCUCAUGCUCGUGGAGCGGCCGAUAUCUGAUUAGCUAGUUGGUAGGGUAAAAGCCUACCAAGGCUUCGAUCAGUAGCUGGUCUGAGAGGACGACCAGCCACACUGGGACUGAGACACGGCCCAGACUCCUACGGGAGGCAGCAGUGGGGAAUUUUGGACAAUGGGGGCAACCCCGAUCCAGCAAUGCCGCGUGAGUGAAGAAGGCCUUCGGGUUGUAAAGCUCUUUUGUCAGGGAAGAAACGGUGAAGGCUAAUACUCUUUGCUAAUGACGGUACCUGAAGAAUAAGCACCGGCUAACUACGUGCCAGCAGCCGCGGUAAUACGUAGGGUGCAAGCGUUAAUCGGAAUUACUGGGCGUAAAGCGUGCGCAGGCGGUUAUGUAAGUCAGAUGUGAAAUCCCCGGGCUCAACCUGGGAAUGGCAUUUGAGACUGCAUGGCUAGAGUGUGUCAGAGGGGGGUAGCAUUCCACGUGUAGCAG